rnacentral:rRNA from 1 species
ACGGAGGGUGCAAGCGUUAUCCGGAAUUACUGGGUUUAAAGGGUGCGUAGGCGGUUUUAUAAGUCAGUGGUGAAAGUUUCCAGCUUAACUGGAGAAUUGCCAUUGAAACUGUAAGACUUGAAUUAAGUUGAGGUUAGCGGAAUGUGACAUGUAGCGGUGAAAUGCAUAGAUAUGUCAUAGAACACCAAUUGCGAAGGCAGCUGGCUAGGCUUAUAUUGACGCUGAGGCACGAAAGCGUGGGGAGCGAACAGG